GAUGAACGCUGGCGGCGUGCUUAACACAUGCAAGUCGAACGGAAAGGCCCAAGCUUGCUUGGGUACUCGAGUGGCGAACGGGUGAGUAACACGUGGGUGAUCUGCCCUGCACUUCGGGAUAAGCCUGGGAAACUGGGUCUAAUACCGGAUAGGACCACUUCUUGGAUGUUGUGGUGGAAAGUUUUUUCGGUGUAGGAUGAGCUCGCGGCCUAUCAGCUUGUUGGUGGGGUAAUGGCCUACCAAGGCGUCGACGGGUAGCCGGCCUGAGAGGGUGUACGGCCACAUUGGGACUGAGAUACGGCCCAGACUCCUACGGGAGGCAGCAGUGGGGAAUAUUGCACAAUGGGCGCAAGCCUGAUGCAGCGACGCCGCGUGGGGGAUGACGGCCUUCGGGUUGUAAACUCCUUUCGCUAGGGACGAAGCGUUUUUGUGACGGUACCUGGAGAAGAAGCACCGGCUAACUACGUG
rnacentral:rRNA from 1 species